UCUUCGAUAGUUCAGUCGGUAGAACACCUGACCGUUAAUCAGGGAGUCGCAGGUUCGAGUCCUGCUCGGAGAG
rnacentral:tRNA from 1 species